UACGGAGGGUGCAAGCGUUAAUCGGAAUUACUGGGCGUAAAGCGUGCGCAGGCGGUUUUGUAAGUCUGACGUGAAAGCCCCGGGCUCAACCUGGGAAUUGCGAUGGAGACUGCAAGGCUAGAAUCUGGCAGAGGGGGGUAGAAUUCCACGUGUAGCAGUGAAAUGCGUAGAGAUGUGGAGGAACACCGAUGGCGAAGGCAGCCCCCUGGGUCAAGAUUGACGCUCAUGCACGAAAGCGUGGGGAGCAAACAGG
rnacentral:rRNA from 1 species